UACGGGGGGGCAAGCGUUGUUCGGAAUUACUGGGCGUAAAGGGCUCGUAGGCGGCCAACUAAGUCGGACGUGAAAUCCCUCGGCUUAACCGGGGAACUGCGUCCGAUACUGGAUGGCUUGAGUUUGGGAGAGGGAUGCGGAAUUCCAGGUGUAGCGGUGAAAUGCGUAGAUAUCUGGAGGAACACCGGUGGCGAAGGCGGCAUCCUGGACCAACACUGACGCUGAGGAGCGAAAGCCAGGGGAGCAAACGGG
rnacentral:rRNA from 1 species